CUGGUCAUCUACAUUUGCCUUCUUACAGCACUAAACUAUGUUUACUGCCUUUAUCUUGCAUCUACCUACCACUUCAGCAUUUUAUUAAAAAUAAUAAUAGUAAUAAUAAUAGGAGAAAUGUGGGAUUCACAUAUAAAUCAAGUAUAAAAAUCAAAUGAAUAAUCAUACCUGACUUGAUUGUUUAUAGUUCAUGAUGAGUGAUCAAAACCGAAAGUUUCUGUGAUAUGACUGCCCUUGCACUGUUCACCAUGUAAGAACUUAUUCACUAUGUAAGAACUUGUUCACCAUGUAAGAACGUGUUUGUUAUGCUUCAGAA